rnacentral:rRNA from 1 species
GUGAACCUGCGGAGGGAUCAUUACCGAGUUUACAACUCCCAAACCCCUGUGAACAUACCUAUACGUUGCCUCGGCGGAUCAGCCCGCGCCCCGUAAAACGGGACGGCCCGCCCGAGGACCCCUAAACUCUGUUUUUAGUGGAACUUCUGAGUAAAACAAACAAAUAAAUCAAAACUUUCAACAACGGAUCUCUUGGUUCUGGCAUCGAUGAAGAACGCAGCAAAAUGCGAUAAGUAAUGUGAAUUGCAGAAUUCAGUGAAUCAUCGAAUCUUUGAACGCACAUUGCGCCCGCCAGUAUUCUGGCGGGCAUGCCUGUUCGAGCGUCAUUUCAACCCUCAAGCUCAGCUUGGUGUUGGGACUCGCGGUAACCCGCGUUCCCCAAAUCGAUUGGCGGUCACGUCGAGCUUCCAUAGCGUAGUAAUCAUACACCUCGUUACUGGUAAUCGUCGCGGCCACGCCGUUAAACCCCAACUUCUGAAUGUUGACCUCGGAUCAGGUAGGAAUACCCGCUGAACUUAAGCAUAUCAAUAAGCGGAGGAA